rnacentral:misc_RNA from 1 species
AACGCACCUUGCGCUCCUUGGUAUUCCGAGGAGCAUGCCUGUUUGAGUGUCAUGGAAUUCUCAACCCAUAUAUCCUUGUGGUAUGUGGGCUUGGACUUGGAGGCUUGCUGGCUGUUACUAGUCGGCUCCUCUUGAAUGCAUUAGCUUGAUUCCGUGCGGAUCGGCUCUCAGUGUGUUAAUUGUCUACGCUGUGACCGUGAAGCGUUUGGCGAGCUUCUAACCGUCCUGUAUGGGACAACUUCUUGACAUCUGACCUCAAAUCAGGUAGGACUACCCGCUGAACUUAA